AAAGAGUUCUAUAACUCCCAAACCCAUGUGAACAUACCUAACGUUGCCUCGGCAGGUCGCACCUACCUUGUAGCACCCUACCCUGUAGGGCCUACCCGGGAGGUGCGGGUAAGCCUGCCGGCGGCCCACCAAACUCUGUUUGAUAUUGAAUUCUGAACCUAUAACUAAAUAAGUUAAAACUUUCAACAACGGAUCUCUUGGUUCUGGCAUCGAUGAAGAACGCAGCGAAAUGCGAUAAGUAAUGUGAAUUGCAGAAUUCAGUGAAUCAUCGAAUCUUUGAACGCAUAUUGCGCCCAUUAGUAUUCUAGUGGGCAGGACCGUUCGAGCGUCAUUUCAACCCUUAAGCCUUCGUUGCUUAGUGUUGGGAGCCUACGGCAACGUAGCUCCUCAAAGUUAGUGGCGGAGUUGGUUCACACUCUAGACGUAGUAAUUUUUUAUCUCGCCUAUUAGUUGGACUAAUCCCCUGCCGUAAAACCCCCAAUUUAUCAAGGUUGACCUCGAAUCGGUUCAGACAAACUCGCUAAAUUGAAGCAUCUUAGUCAGCGAAGGAAAAGAAACCAACAGGGAUUGCCCUAGUAACGGCGAGUGAAGCGGCAACAGCUCAAAUUUGAAAUCUGGCCCUCGGGUCCGAGUUGUAAUUU
rnacentral:rRNA from 1 species